AAAGAUGUUCAGGUGGCCGCCCGGAUUCGUCCGGGAGGAAAGUCCGAGCACCACAGGGCGAGGCGCUGGGUAACUCCCAGUCCCGGUGACGGGAAGGAAAGUGCCACAGAAAAAAUACCGCCCGGAUUCGUCCGGGUAAGGGUGAAAAGGCGAGGUAAGAGCUCACCGCGGACCUGGUGACAGGGACGGCAUGGUAAACCCCGCCUGGUGCAAGACCAAAUAGGGGGGCGCUCCCGCAAGGGAUAAGAUUGGCCCGGUCUAUGCUCCCGGGUAAGGUCGCUUGAGCGAAAGGGUAACUUUUCGCCUAGAGUAAUGGUCACCCACCUUCCUUUCGGGGGAGGUAUGACAGAACUCGGCUUACGAACAUCUUUCACG
rnacentral:RNase_P_RNA from 1 species